AACAGUAUUAGCCUCCUCCACAGGCAUCUCGUGUUUCACGUACUUUAUUUUUCCAGCAACCAGAUUUUGCCCGCCAAUCUAAAGGCGAUGCCUGCGGAGGAGGCUAGAACAGU